GUCCGACAUUCCAACACCACAAGACAGAAAAAAAGAGAUUAAUAAAAACAUUGUGGAGUCUAGAAAAUAAAUUUGCUGAAUCAAUUACAGAUGGUGGUAAUGAUGUCUAUAGUUUUUUGGCUUCUGGAAAAUCGUACAAACAGUAUAAUAGAUGCAGAAUGUCUACUUGUUUUGAAUCCAAACAAAUGGCUAGUGAGCGAACAUUUAAGACCACCACAGCAAAAAACCAGCAUAAGCCCAAAAACCAUCAUGGGCAAUUUAAAAGUUACAACUUUGAAAAAGAAAGAUUUUUGAGGUAUAUAGCUGAAAAACCAAAAGGUUCCCAUAUUAAUUGGACACCGCUGGCUAGACUUUUCAAAGUCAAAAUAAACGACAAAAUCUCCACAAAACGGUGGUCUGAUAUUGCAGGCAUAUGCCAAAUACAACAAGAUCGACAUUAGGACAUCUGAACAUGUAUCAAAAACGUGUCAGAAGAGCUAACAAGAUAAUUAAUAUGAAAACAACCAAAGUAACAAUACCAACACGAAGACCUGCAAAAAAACUAAAAGAGAAUAUAAUGAAAAAAAUACAGUCAGGCAAUAUAUACAUUGGGGAGGAAGUUGCACCUAAAAAUAUCACUACUACAAAAAUCGACAGCAGUGGCGCUCUAGUUUAAGUAAAUCAAAAUGUUUGUGGUCGCAAAAUACCACUUGCACAUAUAAGACAGACUGCUCUUCAGGAUCAAAUCCAACUUGGAAUUUUGAACUAUCAUUCUAAUCAGAAUCUGUCUGAUGAAGAUGUCCAACAACGCUAUA
rnacentral:lncRNA from 1 species